rnacentral:tRNA from 1 species
GCCUGGGUGGCUCAGUCGGUUGAGCGUCCGACUUCAGCUCAGGUCACGAUCUCACGGUCUGUGAGUUCGAGCCCCACGUCGGGCU